GACGAACCGUACAAACGUUAUCCGGAAUCACUGGGCUUAAAGGGUGCGUAGGCUGUCCGGUAAGUUGGGUGUGAAAGCCCUCGGCUCAACCGAGGAAUUGCGCUCAAUACUGCAGGACUUGAGGAAGACAGAGGUGAGCGGAACUUAGGGUGGAGCGGUGAAAUGCGUUGAUAUCCUAAGGAACACCUGGGGCGAAAGCGGCUCACUGGGUCUUCUCUGACGCUGAGGCACGAAAGCUAGGGUAGCGAACGGG
rnacentral:rRNA from 1 species